rnacentral:rRNA from 1 species
UGGGGAAUAUUGCACAAUGGAGGGAACUCUGAUGCAGCGACGCCGCGUGAACGAAGAAGGCUUUCGAGUCGUAAAGUUCUUUUAUAUGGGAAGAUAAUGACGGUACCAUAAGAAAAAGCCCCGGCUAACUACGUGCCAGCAGCCGCGGUAAUACGUAGGGGGCUAGCGUUGUCCGGAAUCACUGGGCGUAAAGGGUUCGCAGGCGGAAAUGCAAGUCAGGUGUAAAAGGCAGUAGCUUAACUACUGUAAGCAUUUGAAACUGCAUAUCUUGAGAAGAGUAGAGGUAAGUGGAAUUUUUAGUGUAGCGGUGAAAUGCGUAGAUAUUAAAAAGAAUACCGGUGGCGAAGGCGACUUACUGGGCUCAUGCUGACGCUGAGGAACGAAAGCGUGGGUAGCAAACAGG